GAUGAACGCUGGCGGCGUGCCUAAUACAUGCGAGUCGAGCGAACAGAUGAGGAGCUUGCUCCUCUGACGUUAGCGGCGGACGGGUGAGUAACACGUGGAUAACCUACCUAUAAGACUGGGAUAACUUCGGGAAACCGGAGCUAAUACCGGAUAAUAUAUUGAACCGCAUGGUUCAAUAGUGAAAGACGGUUUUGCUGUCACUUAUAGAUGGAUCCGCGUCGCAUUAGCUAGUUGGUAAGGUAACGGCUUACCAAGGCAACGAUGCGUAGCCGACCUGAGAGGGUGAUCGGCCACACUGGAACUGAGACACGGUCCAGACUCCUACGGGAGGCAGCAGUAGGGAAUCUUCCGCAAUGGGCGAAAGCCUGACGGAGCAACGCCGCGUGAGUGAUGAAGGUCUUCGGAUCGUAAAACUCUGUUAUUAGGGAAGAACAAAUGUGUAAGUAACUAUGCACGUCUUGACGGUACCUAAUCAGAAAGCCACGGCUAACUACGUG
rnacentral:rRNA from 1 species